UGGGGAAUAUUGGACAAUGGGCGCAAGCCUGAUCCAGCGAUGCCGCGUGUGUGAAGAAGGCCUGCGGGUUGUAAAGCACUUUUAGCGAGGACGAGGGUUACCGUGUUGAAUAGACGUGGUAAUUGACGGUACUCGCAGAAAAAGCACCGGCUAACUCUGUGCCAGCAGCCGCGGUAAUACAGAGGGUGCAAGCGUUAAUCGGAAUGACUGGGCGUAAAGAGCGCGUAGGUGGUUAUGUAAGUCGGAUGUGAAAGACCUGGGCUUAACCUGGGGGUGUCAUCCGAUACUGUGUAGCUAGAGUUCGAGAGAGGUGAGUGGAAUUCCUAGUGUAGAGGUGAAAUUCGUAGAUAUUAGGAAGAACACCGGUGGCGAAGGCGGCUCACUGGCUCGAUACUGACACUGAGGUGCGAAAGCGUGGGGAGCAAACAGGAUUAGAUACCCACGUAGUCCCUGAGCGGGCUGGCAAGGCGCAU
rnacentral:rRNA from 1 species